UACGUAGGGAGCAAGCGUUGUUCGGAUUUACUGGGCGUAAAGGGCGCGUAGGCGGCGCAACAAGUCACUUGUGAAAUCUCCGGGCUUAACCCGGAGCGGUCAAGUGAUACUGUCGUGCUAGAGUGCGGAAGGGGCUACUGGAAUUCUCGGUGUAGCGGUGAAAUGCGUAGAUAUCGAGAGGAACACCUGCGGCGAAGGCGGCGAACUGGACAGCAACUGACACUCAACUGCGAAAGCGUGGGGAGCAAACAGG
rnacentral:rRNA from 1 species